UACGUAGGGGGCAAGCGUUGUCCGGAAUCACUGGGCGUAAAGGGCGCGUAGGCGGCGCGGGAAGUCCGUGGUGAAAGCCCGAGGCUCAACUUCGGGUCGGCCAUGGAUACUCCUGGGCUUGAGCACUGUAGAGGCAGGUGGAAUUCCGGGUGUAGCGGUGGAAUGCGUAGAGAUCCGGAAGAACACCGGUGGCGAAGGCGGCCUGCUGGGCAGUAGCUGACGCUGAGGCGCGACAGCGUGGGGAGCAAACAGG
rnacentral:rRNA from 1 species